rnacentral:misc_RNA from 1 species
CAACCCUCAAGCCCCGCUUGGUGAUGGGCCCCGCCUGCGGGCGGGCCCGAAACUCGUGGGCGUCGUCGUUCGGCUCCAAGCGUAGCAAAACCCUCGCUUGGGCGCCCGGACGGAGGCCGCCCGGAACGAAUUUUUACAAGG